rnacentral:rRNA from 1 species
CCUACGUGAGGCAGCAGUGGGGAAUAUUGCGCAAUGGGCGAAAGCCUGACGCAGCGACGCCGCGUGAGGGAUGAAGGUCUUCGGAUCGUAAACCUCUGUCAGCAGGGAAGAACGGUCACUGUGCUAAUCAGCAGUGAAUUGACGGUACCUGCAAAGGAAGCACCGGCUAACUCCGUGCCAGCAGCAGCGGUAAUACGGAGGGUGCGAGCGUUAAUCGGAAUUACGUGGCGUAAAGCGCUCGUAGGCGGUAUGUCAAGUCAAGGGGGAAAUCCCCGCGCUCAACGUGGGAACUGCCUUUGAAACUGGCAAACUUGAGUGUGUGAGAGGCUAGUGGAAUUCCAGGUGUAGGAGUGAAAUCCGUAGAUAUCUGGAGGAACAUCAGUGGCGAAGGCGACUAUCUGGCACAUAACUGACGCUGAGGAGCGAAAGCGUGGGUAGCAAACAGGAUUAGAUACCCCAGUAGUC